rnacentral:tRNA from 1 species
GCGGAUGUAGCCAAGUGGAUCAAGGCAGUGGAUUGGGA